GUGGGGAAUCUUGCGCAAUGGGCGAAAGCCUGACGCAGCCAUGCCGCGUGAAUGAUGAAGGUCUUAGGAUUGUAAAAUUCUUUCACCGGGGACGAUAAUGACGGUACCCGGAGAAGAAGCUCCGGCUAACUUCGUGCCAGCAGCCGCGGUAAUACGAAGGGGGCGAGCGUUAUUCGGAAUCACUGGGCGUAAAGCGUGCGUAGGCUGUUUUGUAAGUCAGAGGUGAAAGCCCAGGGCGCAACCUUGGAAUUGCCUUUGAUACUGGCUGUCUUGAGUACGGGAGAGGGGAGUGGAACUCCGAGUGUAGAGGUGAAAUUCGUAGAUAUUCGGAAGAACACCAGUGGCGAAGGCGACUCACUGGCCCGUUACUGACGCUGAGGCGCGAAAGCGUGGGGAGCAAACAGGAUUAGAAACCCCAGUAGUCC
rnacentral:rRNA from 1 species